CCAUUUCUAUCAGCCUGCUAAUAUCCAUGGGGGUUUAUAGGGAUGUACCCCCUACGCGUGAAUCCUUUCCUUUAAUAUUCUCAAUUAACGGGCUGUCCCCAUACCCCGUCCGGUAUGAGUGCCAAAUUACUAAACCUCAGUACCUUGUUCGGUAUGAUGGUGAAACGGACCGUCUUCAUACCCUGUCGGUAUGAGUGCUACAUUACCAAGUCUCGAUACCCCGUCCGAUAUGAGACAAAGUUCACGGUAGGGUUUUAUAUUAUACCCGAUCCGUCCACCAUCUCUCAAGAUAUCUAGUAAGACU
rnacentral:lncRNA from 1 species